UUAUCGGAAUGAGAACAAUUCAAAUCCUUUAACGAGGAUCUAGCGGAGGGCAAGUCUGGUGCCAGCAGCCGCGGUAAUUCCAGCUCCGCAGGUGUAUAUCUAUGCUGCUGCGGUUAAAAAGCUCGUAGUUGGAUCUGCGUGCUCGGAACUGGUUGGCUCACUGAGUUCAAACUGGUCUCCGGCGCUUUAUUGGCUGGUUUUCCCUUGAUGCUCUUAACCGGGUGUCUUGGGUGGCUAGCACGUUUACUUUGAAAAAAUUAGAGUGCUCAAUACAGGCGUAAAGCCUUGAAUAGUGGUGCAUGGAAUAAUAGAAUAGGACCUCGGCUCUAUUUUGUUGGUUUUCGGAACGCGAGGUAAUGAUUAAGAGGGACAGACGGGGGCAUUCGUAUUGCGACGUUAGAGGUGAAAUUCUUGGAUCGUCGCAAGACGGACGACUGCGAAAGCAUUUGCCAAGAAUGUUUUCAUUAAUCAAGAACGAAAGUUAGAGGUUCGAAGGCGAUCAGAUACCGCCCUAGUUCUAACCGUAAACGAUGCCAACUAGCGAUUCGCAGGCGUUAAACAACGACCUUGCGGGCAGCUUCCCGGAAACGAAAGUGUUCGGGUUCCGGGGGAAGUAUGGUUGCAAAGCUGAAACUUAAAGGAAUUGACGGAAGGGCACCACCAGGAGUGGAGCCUGCGGCUUAAUUUGACCCAACACGGGAAAACUCACCCGGCCCGGACACCGUAAGGAUUGACAGAUUGAGAGCUCUUUCUUAUUCGGUGGGUGGUGGUGCAUGGCCGUUCUUAGUUGGUGGAGCGAUUUGUCUGGUUUAUUCCGAUAACGAACGAGACUCUGGCCUACUAAAUAGUGGGCGGAUUCUUUCUGUCCGCAACACUUCUUAGAGGGACAAGCGGUGUUCAGCCGCACGAGAUUGAGCAAUAACAGGUCUGUGAUGCCCUUAGAUGUCCGGGGCUGCACGCGCGCUACACUGAAGGAAUCAGCGUGCUUUCUGACCUUGCCCGAAAGGGCUGGGUAACCCGAUGAAAAUCCUUCGUGAUUGGGAUAGGGACUUGCAAUUAUUUCCCUUGAACGAGGAAUUCCCAGUAAGUGUGGGUCAUAAGCUCGCGUUGAUUACGUCCCUGCCCUUUGUACACACCGCCCGUCGCUGCCCGGAACUGAGCCGUUUCGAGAAGAACAGGGACCGUCGUUGAAGGGCCUUAACGGGCUUUUCUCUGAUAGAAACUGUU
rnacentral:rRNA from 1 species